AACGAACGCUGGCGGCAGGCCUAACACAUGCAAGUCGAGCGCCCUUUCGGGGGAGCGGCGGACGGGUGAGUAACGCGUGGGAAUAUGCCCUUCUCUACGGAAUAGCCUCGGGAAACUGAGAGUAAUACCGUAUACGCCCUAUGGGGGAAAGAUUUAUCGGGGAAGGAUUAGCCCGCGUUGGAUUAGGUAGUUGGUGGGGUAAUGGCCUACCAAGCCGACGAUCCAUAGCUGGUUUGAGAGGAUGAUCAGCCACACUGGGACUGAGACACGGCCCAGACUCCUACGGGAGGCAGCAGUGGGGAAUCUUAGACAAUGGGGGCAACCCUGAUCGAGCCAUGCCGCGUGAGUGAUGAAGGCCUUAGGGUUGUAAAGCUCUUUCAGCUGGGAAGAUAAUGACGGUACCAGCAGAAGAAGCCCCGGCUAACUCCGUG
rnacentral:rRNA from 1 species